rnacentral:rRNA from 1 species
GAUGAACGCUGGCGGCGUGCUUAAUACAUGCAAGUCGAGCGAACAGACCAGGAGCUUGCUCCUCUGACGUUACCGGCGGGCGGGUGAGUAAUACGUGGAUAACCUACCUGUAAUACUGGGCUGAAUUCGGGAAACCUGAGCUAAUACCGGAUAAUAUAUUUAAGCGCUUUGUUCAAUAUUGUAAGACUGUUUUUCGGUCAGUUAUAGAUGGAUCCGCGCCGCAUUAGCUAGUUUAUAAGGUAACGGCCUACCAAGGCAACGAUGCGUACCCGACCUGAGAGAGGGAUCGGCGACACUGGAACUGAACCACGGUCCAGACUCCUGCGGGAGGCAGCAGUAGGGAAUGUUCCGCAAUGGGCGAAAGCAUGACGGAGCAAACCCGAGCGAGUGAUGAAGGUCCUCGGAUAGUAAAACCCUGUUACUAGGGAUGAACAAAUGUGUAAGGAACCAAACCCGUAUUGACGGUACCUAAACAGGAAGCCCCGGCUAACUACGUG